rnacentral:rRNA from 1 species
UUGCCAUGCCAAGGCUUCAGGCAAGGAGGCCCCCUUUCUCCUAUGCUCUUCAUCUUGUGCAUGGAGCCACUGCGAGCUCUUUUCCAGUUUGCAACGGAAAGGGGGCUCCUUGCUCCUUUGGCACGUUCGGGGCUAAAACAACGAGUUUCCAUGUUUGCCGACGACGUGGUUGCCUUUCUCAAGCCCAAUGAAUUGGAAACACGGACUUGUGAUGCUAUUCUGCGGCUUUUUGACCAGGCCUCGGGAUUGGUGGUAAAUUGGAGCAAAAGCUUGGCUAUACCGAUUAGAUGCUCGACGGACGAGAGGGAUUUGGUUACGAACAUCUUGGGCUGCCCCACUGGCGCGUUCCCGUGCAGAUACCUUGGCCUCCCAUUAACCCCGAGGAAGCCAACGGCAGCG